rnacentral:rRNA from 1 species
CGCACGGGUGAGUAACACGUGAGUGACCUGCCUUUUAGACUGGAACAACUUACCGAAAGGUGAGCUAAUGCCGGAUGAGUUAUAUAAGUGCAUGUUUAUAUAGGAAAAGUUGGGGAGACCUGACGCUGAAAGGUGGACUCGCGUCCCAUUAGCUAGUUGGUAGGGUAAUGGCCUACCAAGGCGACGAUGGGUAGCCGGCCUGAGAGGGUGGCCGGCCACACUGGGACUGAGACACGGCCCAGACUCCUACGGAAGGCAGCAG